rnacentral:snRNA from 1 species
GUGCUCACUUCGGCAGCAACAUAAACUAAAAUCGAAAUAUUACAGAGGAUCAGCAUGGCUCCUGCCCAAGGGUGACACUCAAAUUCAUGUAGCGUUCCGUAUUUAC